AGCAGACCGCCGCCUAAUCGCCGCAAGGCGAGCCGGGGACCCACCCGUGUUAUGGGGUGAAUCCACGUCACAGUGGUAGGGAUCGCUUCCGUCCCGAACCCGUCAGCUAACUCGGUCGGCGGCCGACGGAAGGAAAG
rnacentral:sRNA from 2 species